GCUGGGUGGAGGCUGUGGGGAGCUGGAGCUCGGCCUAGCUGCAGCCUCAGUGGGGCAGGGGCUGGAGGCCCUGGGGCUGCUGUGGGGCCUGGGGCUGGCCACAGGGAGAAGAGAGGCCGGCAGCACCCUUGGGGCCAUGACAGCCACCCACCACACUAAGGCACAGGAUUUAAAGAGGAUUUAUUCCUGGGCUCCUUCUGGAGGAGAGGUGAGCAGAGCCAUGCUCUCCACCAGCCCUGCUGCUGUUUGCCAGAGCCACCCUCACAGUGAUGCUGCUUCUAGAGAGGUUUGCUGUCAUCGGCUAGCCACCAAAUUUUCCACAUCACCUCUACUCAGCUGGCUCGAGCCCUCCAGCCCAGACAGAAUGAGCUAUGCAGAUUGGUGAGAAGUGAUGGAACCGCUCCUCCUCCUUAUCUGUCUCACACCCUCUCUCUGGAUCAGCUAGCCAAAGAACUGACAUCCUGCGAGGGGCUUAAGCAGCUUGCCAGGAAUACCUAGGAAGCAGAAGGGCACUGGAACCGUAAAUCUAAACCGUAAAUCUUGCUAAACAAAAUCUGUGGUGAUAUACAUAAAAAUCCAAGCUCUACACAGAGCUCUAUAAACUGAAAUUCUCAAUUUCCUCCCCUGCUAGAGAAAGUACCUAUUACUUCAAGACUUCUGGAGAAAGGAUGCCAUUAUUUAUUAAAUUCCAUACAAUAAAAGUCUGAUGAACCCUAAUGAUGUUAUCCCA
rnacentral:lncRNA from 1 species